UUUGACCCCUUGUGGCACAUGAUCCUUUGUUGCUAUAUGUAAGCGCUACCCUGCAGUCCUCCUCCCCGGCUGUUUUCUUCCACUUGUGUGCAUUUAUACAGCGCUAAAUCUGCGAAAUGCUGUGAAAGCUUCACCUGACCUCGCCACACUCUGAAGGCGUACAGCCCUGCUCAGCCCUGCUCAGCCCUGGAUAAUCUGGAGCCAAAAGGGAACAAAGUCAAGCCCACAGAGAGAGAGCGAGAUAGAGAGGGGAUAAGAGAGAAGCAGCUGAUCUAUAUGUCAGGCUCCAGUUACAUGAGAGUGACUAAUCUGUAACCUCUGAGAUCAUCUGAUGAAGGGAUGUCAUGGAAAAACCAACAGCUCGCUAAUAAUCGGAGAAAUCGCUUGUCUGCCCCUUCUGUCAAUCAUCCAGGCGUCUGGGAGGAGGGGGACACAUGCACGUCGCAGAGAUGGAGAAGGGGAAUCCUGGUGGUCAGCAGAAGACUAUUCCUGCAAGGGACCUCUUAGAUUACAGCACAAGACCCCCUCAAGUGACUGCUGACAUCCAAACAUCAGCAUGUCCUCUGUCCUGUCUUCCUUCUCUCACCCC